rnacentral:rRNA from 1 species
CCUACGGGUAGCAGCAGUGAGGAAUAUUGGUCAAUGGGCGCGAGCCUGAACCAGCCAAGUCGCGUGAGGGAAGACGGUCCUAUGGAUUGUAAACCUCUUUUGUCGGGGAGCAAAAGACGCCACGCGUGGCGGUCCGAGAGUACCCGAAGAAAAAGCAUCGGCAAACUCCGUGCCAGCAGCCGCGGUAAUACGGAGGAUGAGAGCGUUAUCCGGAUUUAUUGGGUUUAAAGGGGGCGCAGGCGGAAGAUCAAGUCAGCGGUAAAAUUGAGAGGCUCAACCUCUUCGAGCCGUUGAAACUGGUUUUCUUGAGUGAGCGAGAAGUAUGCGGAAUGCGUGGUGUAGCGGUGAAAUGCAUAGAUAUCACGCAGAACUCCGAUCGCGAAGGCAGCAUACCGGCGCUCAACUGACGCUCAUGCACGAAAGUGUGGGUAUCGAACAGGAUUAGAUACCCGGGUAGUC